GUAGGUGGCAAGCGUUGUCCGGAAUUAUUGGGCGUAAAGCGCGCGCAGGCGGUUCUUUAAGUCUGAUGUGAAAGCCCACGGCUCAACCGUGGAGGGUCAUUGGAAACUGGAGAACUUGAGUACAGAAGAGGAAAGCGGAAUUCCACGUGUAGCGGUGAAAUGCGUAGAGAUGUGGAGGAACACCAGUGGCGAAGGCGGCUUUCUGGCCUGUAACUGACGCUGAGGCGCGAAAGCGUGGGGAGCAAACAGGAUUAGAUACCCUGGUAGUCCACGCCGUAAACGAUGAGUGCUAAGUGUUAGGGGGGUUUCCGCCCCCCUUAGUGCUGCAGCUAACGCAUUAAGCACUCCGCCUGGGAGUACGGCCGCAAGGCUG
rnacentral:rRNA from 1 species